rnacentral:rRNA from 1 species
UUCGGAGGAUGCAAGCGUUAUCCGGAAUGAUUGGGCGUAAAGCGUCCGCAGGUGGCAAUGUAAGUCUGCUGUUAAAGAGUCUAGCUCAACUAGAUAAAAGCAGUGGAAACUACAUAGCUAGAGUACGUUCGGGGCAGAGGGAAUUCCUGGUGUAGCGGUGAAAUGCGUAGAGAUCAGGAAGAACACCAGUGGCGAAGGCGCUCUGCUAGGCCGUAACUGACACUGAGGGACGAAAGCUAGGGGAGCGAAUGAG